rnacentral:rRNA from 1 species
GACGAACGCUGGCGGCGUGCUUAACACAUGCAAGUCGAACGGAAAGGCCCUGCGCUUGUUGGGCGCACGAGUGGCGAACGGGUGAGUGACACGCGUGUAACAUCCACUUGAAUUUGGGAUAACUCCUGGAAACUGGGGCUAAAACCGGAUAGGAGCUCCUGCUGCACGGGGGGGGUUGGAAAGAUUCGGCGGUUUUGGAUGGUCUCGCGGCUUAUCAGCUUGUUGGUGGGGUAGUGGCGUACCAAGGCUUUGAAGGGUAGCCGGCCUGAGAGGCUGACCAGCCACAUUGGUCCUGCGAUACGGCCCAGACGCCUACGGGACGCAGCAGUGGAGAAUAUUACACAAUGGGCGCAAGCCUGAUGCAGCGACCCUGCGUGCGUGAUGACGUCCUUCGGGUUGUAAACCGCUUUCGACUGUGACGUAGCGUGAGUGACGGUAAUGAGUAAGGAAGCACCGGCUAACUACGUG